rnacentral:tRNA from 1 species
CUUGGUAUAGCUCAAGGGUAGAGCAGUUGGCUCUCCAUCCGGCUGGACACAGGUUCGAGCCCUGUUGCCAGAACCU